rnacentral:rRNA from 1 species
AGGACGAACGCUGGCGGCGUGCUUAACACAUGCAAGUCGAGCGGAAAGGCCUUUCGGGGUACUCGAGCGGCGAACGGGUGAGUAACACGUGAGUAAUCUGCCCAUCGCUUCAGGAUAGCCAUCGGAAACGGUGAUUAAUACUGGAUAUGACAUUCCUUCGCAUGUUGGGGUGUGGAAAGUUUUUUCGGCGGUGGAUGUGCUCGCGGCCUAUCAGUCUUGUUGGUGGGGUAAUGGCCUACCAAGGCUUUGACGGUAGCCGGCUGGAGAGGGUGACCGGCCACACGUGGGACUGAGACACGGCCCAGACCUCCGUAACGGGAGGCAGGCCGAGGUGGGAAUAGUUGGGAACAAGUGGGCGGAAGCCGUGAUCCGAGCGAACCGCCGCGUGGAGGAUGGACCGGUCCGUUACGGGUUCGUUAAACCUCGUUUCACG